AAAAAGUUUAAAGUUUCAUAUCUGCCCCCGUUAAACAUUUUAAACCAAGUGCUCAACAAUGACAAUUCAGAUAACUAUCGAAAUAGUAUUAUACUGUGUUUAUAGUUUUGAAAGAGUCAGACCGCUAUUAACUGGUUAUGCACAAGGCAUUUUAGAUUUGCAAGCGUAGGGGAUGAAUCUUGACAGGCUGUUAAUUUUAUAGAAGCUAAUGUUGACCUUAUUUUAAAUAUAAUAGAGUGUUAUUGUCUGGAGGUGUUUGAUAUUCAGUCAGUAGAACAUGCAAAAUAUUGAAAUGAUUUGCUGCUGUGACUGUGUUUAUGAUUAUCCACGGCAAGAUGGUAUUUUAUUGUCAGUUAAGAUUUUGUGAAUACUUUAAACUGCAGUUAAUCUUUUUUAUGUAUUAUAAAUUAUUUUGUAUUACAAACUUUUUAAAUUU